UACGUAGGGUGCGAACGUUGUUCGGAAUCACUGGGCAUAAAGAGCGCGUAGGCGGUCUAAUAAGUCGGGUGUGAAAUCCCUCGGCUCAACCGGGGAACUGCACCUGAUACUGUUGGGCUUGAGUGCAGGAGGGGAGAGCGGAAUUCCUGGUGGAGCGGUGAAAUGCGUAGAUAUCAGGAGGAACGCCGGCGGCGAAAGCGGCUCUCUGGCCUGUAACUGACGCUGAGGCGCGAAAGCUAGGGGAGCAAACGGGAUUAGAUACCCCGGUAGUCCUAGCCCUAAACGAUGGGUACUAAGUAGAGGAAAUUCCGAUAUUUUCUCUGCCGGAGCUAAUGUAUUAAGUACCCCGCCUGGGGAGUAUGGUCGCAAGGCUAAA
rnacentral:rRNA from 1 species